AGGCGUCGAGUGGCGGACGGGUGAGUAACGCGUGAGAAACUUGCCCCAUAACCUGGGAUAACUGCUUGAAAAGGCAGCUAAUACCGGAUAAGCUCCCACCAAGGCAUCUUGGAGAGAGAAAAGAUUACGUUAUGGGAGAGUCUCGCGUCCUAUUAGCUAGUUGGUGAGGUAAUGGCUCACCAAGGCGACGAUAGGUAGCCGGCCUGAGAGGGUGAUCGGCCACAAGGGAACUGAGACACGGUCCUUACUCC
rnacentral:rRNA from 1 species